rnacentral:rRNA from 1 species
CGUAGGUGGCAAGCGUUGUCCGGAGUUUAUUGGGUUUAAAGGGUGCGUAGGCGGCCCUGUAAGUCAGUGCUGAAAUAUCCCGGCUUAACCGGGAGGGUGGCAUUGAUACUGCAGGGCUUGAGUAAAGUUGAGGUUGGCGGAAUUGACGGUGUAGCGGUGAAAUGCUUAGAUAUCGUCAAGAACACCGAUAGUGUAGACAGCUAACUAAGCUUUAACUGACGCUGAGGCACGAAAGUGUGGGGAUCAAGCAGGAUUAGAUACCCUGGUAGUCCACACUGUAAACGUUGAUGACUCGCUGUUGGCGAUAUACAGUCAGCGGCUUAGAGAAAUCGUUAAGUCAUCCACCUGGGGAGUACGCCGGCAACGGUG